GGAAAAUCUCAUUGAGUCUCAGAGAGAAAUAAGAGAGAGAGAGGCAGCAGAGAAGAACAAAGAAACAAUUCUCUCUCUCACUCUUUCUCAGAUGUAUACAGUUUCAGUCCCUUCUCCUACCACCCUCCAUUCUCUCUCUUCUCUGUCUCUCUCUACCAGUUCUUGAUUUUGUGAAAACAAAGCUUUUCUGAUACAGAAGAGAGACAAAGCAGACCCAUAAAAGGCAAAAGGCUCCAGAAGACAAAUUAAAGACUGGUCCAAAAAUGUAUGAGGAUACAGUAGGCUGCAACUUUGACCAAAACUCCAUGCCAGAAUCAGCAGAAAGUGUCCUCAACCUCAACCCUCUUCCCCUACCACCUCCACCACAAGUUCUCAUGCCUUCUCCCUCAGAAACCCACAACAACAACAACAGCAGCUUUGCUGUUGCAGAAAACUUGAGACUCUCCAUGGAAGAGCUCUCCUAUCCUCAUCAACAAGAUCAUCAUGCUGCCAUGGAAAUUGAGCUCCAAAAUGAACUUGGGUUCAAUCCAUACAGCACCAAUACUGACCAGAACAAUAACAGCAGCCAUUUGGUUUCCUUUGAGCAACAAACCAAUUGGGACAAUAUUCAUGGUGUCCAUGAUCAGAUGCAGCAACAAUUGCAAGAUGGUGCUAAUGGUGCAUACCCACCUACACCUGACCUUCUCAACCUUUUCAGCUUACCUAGAUGCUCACCCUCCUCUGUUCUCCAAAACUCGUCCAUUACCUUCACAAACCCCAACCCGAAAAGCUCGAAUUUUCCGAACACUUUGGGGUUCCUCGGAGAUGUCCAUGGUGGGAUUGACACCCCGCCAGGGACAGCGAGUUCGGUUCUCUAUGACCCACUUUUCCAUUUGACCCUGCCUCCACAGCCACCAUUGUUCAGGGAAUUGCUUCAGUCCUUGCCACAUGGAUACAGCUUGCCAGGCUCAAGAAAUGGGUCAUUGUUUACUAGUGGUGGGGAAGAGGGAGAGGGGAUUGGAGGAGGGGUUUACUCAGAUGGGAUUAAUAAUGGGAGGCAAUUUGAGAAUGGGGUGUUGGAGUUCUCCAGAGAAAUGGGUUCUAUUGGAAGAGGAAGAGACAUCAAAGGGACCAAACACUUUUUUUUUCUCUUUUUCUUCAAUUAUUUUCUAAUUUUAGUUUAUGUACCAUUUGCACUAAUAAUUUAAUUUAUGGACCAAAAUGUAAAUCGAGUACAAGUUUGAUGACCAUUUGAGUAAUUUAUCCCCAUGGACUUAUAUAGCUAACUGGAAGAGCUGAAAUUGCUGGUGGAGAAGAAAAGGUGUGGGAGAGAGAGGAGCAAGAGGCGCAGGACUGAACAAGAUGGUGGUGCUGGAGAUGAUGAGAGCUGCAACAUGAAGCCUCUUGGUGACCCUCAUGACCAGUAUGGCUCUUUGAGGAGCUCAUGGCUUCAGAGGAAAUCCAAGGACACUGAGGUCGAUAUCCGCAUUAUCGAUGAUGAAGUUACCAUCAAACUGGUUCAGAGGAAGAAGAUCAAUCUGUUGCUGUAUGUGUCCAGGCUUCUUGAUGAGCUGCAGCUUGAUCUGCAUCAUGUUGCUGGUGGACACAUUGGCAAUUCCUACAGCUUCUUGUUCAACACCAAGAUGUAUGAAGGGUCAUCUUUGUAUGCAAGCGCUAUAGCCCAAAAGCUCAUUGAGGUUCUGGACAAACAAUAUGCAGCAGUUCUACCUACCAACAGUUUUUAGGGAGGCAUGAGUUAUUUUAAUAGAUACUUUCUCUGUUGUUGAUCUUACUAUAUGAUGCUGAAUUUUAAAAGUAGACAAUAAACUUGGUGUGACAGAAGCGUGAAAUAGAACAUAUAGGACUUACAUA